rnacentral:rRNA from 1 species
CAGUCGCCACGGGAAUACGUAGGGUGCAAGCGUUAAUCGGAAUUACUGGGCGUAAAGCGUGCGCAGGCGGUUAUAUAAGACAGAUGUGAAAUCCCCGGGCUCAACCUGGGAACUGCAUUUGUGACUGUAUAGCUAGAGUACGGCAGAGGGGGAUGGAAUUCCGCGUGUAGCAGUGAAAUGCGUAGAUAUGCGGAGGAACACCGAUGGCGAAGGCAAUCCCCUGGGCCUGUACUGACGCUCAUGCACGAAAGCGUGGGGAGCAAACAGGAUUAGAUACCCGGGUAGUCCCUGUCUCUUAUAA